GCCUAACGGCUGAACUGGCAACUUGGAGAAGUGGCAAGUCUUCCAGUAUGGGGAGCAAAACAGCUAUGGGUCAAGUCCGAUAUCUUUAGGAGAAGUCUUAUUGUGAGGGCGAGUUAUAUAACACCAUAGGACUGGCCGUCCCAUAUGAAAAGAUUAUAUUAGAAUUGAAUGAAGCUUUGUUUAUAUAUUGAUAAUGACAGUAUAUAUAUCGUGUCUUGACUAAUUGCGUGCCAGCAGUCGCGGUAAUACGUAAGAGACUAGUGUUAUUCAUCUUAAUUAGGUUUAAAGGGUACCCAGACGGUCAAUAUAGCUUAUAAAAUGUUAGUACUUGACUAGAGUUUUAUGUAAGAGGGCAGUACUUGAGGAGGAGAGAUGAAAUUUCGUGAUACCAAAGGGACUCUGUAAAGGCGAAGGCAGCCCUCUAUGUAAAAACUGACGUUGAAGGACGAAGGCACAGAGAACAAACAGGAUUAGAUACCCAAGUAGUCUUUGCAGUAAAUGAUGAAUGCCAUAGGUUAGAUUAAUCAAAUAUAGUCUAGGGUUAGUCUAGCAAACUAAUGACCUAUACUAUAAUGAAAAAUAUCUGGUCUAUAAAUGAAAGUGUAAGCAUUUCACCUCAAGAGUAAUGUGGCAACGCAGGAACUGAAAUCACUAGACCGUUUCUGACACCAGUAGUGAAGUAU
rnacentral:rRNA from 1 species